rnacentral:rRNA from 1 species
GCGCAGCAGUCGCGAAAACUCCGCAAUACACGAAAGUGUGACGGGGCUAUCCCGAGUGCCGUCCGCUGAGGAUGGCUUUUCCCCAGUGUAGACAGCUGGGGGAAUAAGGAGAGGGCAAGUCUGGUGUCAGCCGCCGCGGUAAUACCAGCUCUUCGAGUGGUAGGGAUGUUUAUUGGGCCUGAAGCAUCCGUAGCCGGCUGAGCAAGUUCUCUGUUAAAUCCAGCGAUUUAAUCGUUGGAUUGCGGGGAAUACUGUUCGGCUUGGGGGCGAGGGAGGUCGGCGGUAGUCCCGGGGUAGGGGCGAAAUCCUAUAAUCCCGGGAGGACCACCAGUGGCGAAGGCUGUUGGCUAGAACACGCCCGACGGUGAGGGAUGAAAGCUGGGGGAGCGAACCGGAUUAGAUACCCGGGUAGUCC